AAUGAAAAGAAAUUGAAUGAGAAUUGUUUUUGUCAAUGAUACAUAGUAUGUUAAAAUUAUGUGACCCGGGCCAUUGGCAAUUAUUCCAAAUAUUAUAUCCGUAAUAGUUGACAGAAAGUAUGGUUGCACCAACUCAUUGAUAUAUUGUCAUAAUAUGUAUAGAGACCCUUUCCAGUGACAGGAGUAUGUCCAAGCGGCGGGCGUCCCUAUGACAACGUAAUAAUACAUAUUUCAAAAAAGAUAAGCACACUCUGUUUAGCACACAACACUCGCUACACAUAGUGUGUCAUUGGACAUUGGACUUAGUCAAGUUAAAGGAAAUACUUGAAAAUGUCUAUGUACAUACCGAUUUGCACGUAACAGUCCACGGUCACUCGCGCGCUAUUUCAUGUCGAAAAUGGGUAAAAUUACUAAUUGGACUAUUUCAGGUUGUCUUGUUGAGUGCCAGAUCAACAAUAAGAACUGUAAUGGAUACACUACUGACAUUUCUGCAUGUAAUUCAAACAAUGGUCUGACUGGAGAUUCAGUGUUGUCUUUUUAUGAAUUACCCACAUUAGGUUCGGGUGAUAUAACUGUUAUAUGUGGCGAAAAAAUGGAUGCCAUAUCCAAAGCAGUGAAAUGCAUAGCGGAUACACACAUAGCUUGUGGAACAACUGAAACCAAACAAUUGGUAGCCUCUUCAAAUCAAUAUACAGAAGUUCUAAAAACUAUGUGUUCUCGUAAGAGCGAGUAUGAUGGAACAUGUGUUAAUUAUACCGCCAUAGUUGGUUGUACAGGGGACAAACUGGAAGAAAAUAACAUAACAUUAAGCAGCGAUUCUACCUUCGCCGAGGAACGCAUCGCCUUUUGCAAAUACCACGAGUACCUUACGUCUUGUGCAAACACCAAUGCACAACUAGGAUCGUGCAGUAAAACCAAGACCAAAGAAAUAUACUUAUCACUUGUAGCUAAACUCAGACCUGGCAUAUGUGGAGCUUCAUCCAUAGUUUCUUCAGUUCUUGUACUGGUUGUUUCUCUUCUUGCCGCUUUCUUUAAUUAAAUCUGAUUAACUAGAGCUAUAGCGAUCUUAUCUGCUGGUUAUUUGCCGUCCUCUUACUUUCUCUGUUGAGAUUAAAGUGUAAAAAGACAAGCUCUCCUAUCUGUCUUCUGUAGUGUUUUUUUUUUACAAUAUCUUUAUGCACUUGACAAAUCCCUCACAAUGACUAUAAAUUAGGUCAAAACUGCAUUAUCGAUAAUUAAUUCGAUAUGAUGAUUGUUCAGAAUCCAUGAAGCUUUUAAAUUUGAUUUUAAGUUCUGAACUGAUGGCAGUUUAACGUAGUUUGUGUUAUGUUCCCAUGGGUUGAUAUGUGUUUUGUGUUUUUAAGCUUUUUUUUCAUCUGUAAAGGGGCAUAAAGCUAAACUUAAUUAUGAUGUUUUACUUUAUUAAAAUUGGUAUCGCUACAAAGGCACAAGCGACCCAAAUAAAGGAAAGGUUGUACAAAUAAAUAAAUAAUGAUCAUUUCUAAUGCUCUAUACUCACGAACUGAUUUAAUUUUUUAAAAAUUUGAAAAUUCUUACGAAGUUUAAUGUAAUAGACACAUUGACAGAAAUAUGCCCUUUUAUUCUUUGUAUUCUGAAACAGAGUGUGGAUAUUUCCGUUUUAUUAUCAUCAAACAAAAUGGUAUUCUGCGGGAAAAAAAACUCUACAAAAGAAUAAGAUAUGGAACAUAAAAAUUGUUCUUUAUUAUUGUUUGAAUGUCUAUAAUUAUAAAUAUAUGUGUUGUGACUAUAUAUAAGUAUAAUGUAAUCUAUUAACAGAUUAUAUAAUAACAUCUUGCCUAAAUUGGGUACGAAAUAUACUCGAUUCCUUUAUUCUCAGAAAAGUUUAAUAUAUAUUUU